UCUCAACUAACAUAUAUAUUAUUUAGAAAUAUUCAAACGCAUACAUGGAACAAUUCAUCAAAUCAAUAUGAUGAUCCACCUAAUUUGAUCUCAUUCCCUAUUUUAAAGAGUAUCCAAUCUCUUCUAAUCGGAAGAUCCACCACAUUUGAUCUCAUUCCUUAUUUUAAAGAGUUUCCAAUCUCUUCUAAUCGGACAACUCACCUCAUCCAAUAAGAAUUGGACUUGCUCUCAAGCAUUUAUGGACGGAAGACGCGAUGCAUCGGCGUCCUCACCACACAAAUGUUCUUGUAUUACGUUUGUAAGAACAAAGGAACAAAGGGAGGGAGAAACUUCCAUGCAAUAUCUAUUACUGCAAAUAUUUACAUGAAGGUAGAAAGCAUAUGAAUGUGACGAGCCAUAGAAUACUUGGACUUCCG
rnacentral:lncRNA from 1 species